rnacentral:lncRNA from 1 species
ACCCAAGGGUUUAGGGUUUUCCCAAGGGUUUAGGGUUUAGGAUUAGAGUUUAGGGUUUAGUGUUUCGUUGACAACAUGUUUAGUGUUUUUCCAAGGGUUUAGGGUUUACCCAAUGGUUUAGGGUUUAGGAUUUGAGUUUAGGGUUUAGUAUUAGAGUUUAGGGUUUAGUGUUUUGUUGACAACAUUUUUUUUUUUUGAAUUCGUUUUUAUAUAUUAUUUUUAUUUAUUUUUAAAUUUUAUUUUGAAAAGAUAAUAUAAUUUGCCAAAUUAUUUGAUUUCCUUAAUUAAAAGAUACUUGAUCUAAAAUGACAAUUUUUUAUUGGUUGGUGAACCUAAAGGUUCACCCUAGGGGUUGAACCCAAGAAUAACUCUUACCAAAUAAGGUUUAACUUUGGAUACAUCGAACUGCAUCUUCUUUUUAAGUUACAGCUAAAUUCUUCUUCAAAUAUUAAUUUAAGUUUAAAACGAAUUUCGUUAAAUGUUGAAUUUCUUAAACCAAAAGCAU